rnacentral:rRNA from 1 species
GACGAACGCUGGCGGCGUGCUUAACACAUGCCAGUCGAACGGAAAGGCCCUGCUUUUGUGGGGUGCUCGAGUGGCGAACGGGUGAGUAACACGUGAGUAACCUGCCCUUGACUUUGGGAUAACUUCAGGAAACUGGGGCUAAUACCGGAUAGGAGCUCCUGCUGCAUGGUGGGGGUUGGAAAGUUUCGGCGGUUGGGGAUGGACUCGCGGCUUAUGAGCUUGUUGGUGAGGUAGUGGCUUACCAAGGCUUUGACGGGUAGCCGGCCUGGGAGGGUGACCGGGCACAAUGGGACUGAGAUACGGCGCAGAAGCCUACGGGAGGCAGCAGUGGGGAAUAUGGCAGAAUGGGCGGAAGCCUGAUGCAGCAGCGCCGCGUGCGGGAUGACGGCCUUCGGGUUGUAAACCGCUUUCGCCUGUGCUGAAGCGUGAGUGACGGUAAUGGGUAAAGAAGCACCGGCUAACUACGUG